ensembl:miRNA
AUGCUCCUGGCUGGGGUGGGAGGUGGGGAGGUCACAGAGGCAGGGCCUUGGGUACUAUGUCUGAUCACUCCCCUCCUCC